rnacentral:tRNA from 29 species
GCCCCUGUAGCUCAGCUGGCCAGAGCACCCGCCUUGUAAGCGGGAUGUCGCCGGUUCGAUCCCGGCCGGGGGCUCCA